ACACAAUUUAUUUCUUUAUUAAUUAAUAAAAAUAAUUAAUUACUGUUAAGUCUUAAAAUAUUUUAAGUAUUCUUAUAUUAAAUAUUUUCUUUUAACCAAAUUAUAAUCCAUUAAAUUUUUUAAAUAUUAACUGCACCUUGAUCUAAUUGAUAUUGUAUAAUUAUUUUAAAGACUUAUCUUUAAUAUUUAUGCAAAUGACGGUAUACAAAUUUUAAAUUUAAAUAAAAUAAAUUCGUGGUGUAUCGAUUACAAAACAGAUUCCCCUAAUAAGAUAUAAACUGCCGUCAGGUUUUUUAAAUUUUG
rnacentral:rRNA from 1 species